rnacentral:misc_RNA from 1 species
UUGAAAAGGUGGGUUUAAAGAGAGAGAGGCAGAGAAAUAGGGAGAGAAAAGAGAGACCCAGAUGGGUAUUUGGAUUUGGAGAAGCCAUGGAAUUGGAAUUGGAAUUGGAAUUGGAAUUGGUGAGGUUUUGAUUGAGAAAGUGUGAGGGUUUAUAGAGAGAGAUACAAAGACGGAGAGAAACGGGAGCUGGAUGCCGUUGUUUUGUCUGGUUUUAGAUUUCC